UAGUGGGGCAAUCAUUGGUAUAUGUCGACUGACUGUAUGUUAUAAUCAGAAACUAAUUUUCUUUUCAGACCUAGCUAGACGGAACUGAUUGAUGGUAUGUGCUGAUAGAAGCACAUUGCUUCGUAUGACAUCAAAGCUAGUUUUUCUUUCAAGUCUCUAGUGGAGUGAUCGCAUGACGGAUGGACGUCAGGUUGUAAUCAGGAUUUAAUCUCUUUUGAGGCUAAUUACGGAUCGAUCGUAGCCAUAGUCAGAAGGACUACGAGAGUAAGAGUGAAUGAUU
rnacentral:lncRNA from 1 species